rnacentral:rRNA from 1 species
AGUGAACGCUGGCGGCGUGGAUUAGGCAUGCAAGUCGAGCGAUCUUAGUUAAAGAAGUAGGUUGAAGUUUUCGGAUGGAUACCUAUGGAUUUAACUGAGAUAGCGGCAAACGGGUGAGUAACACGUGGGUAACUUGCCUUGAGGAGGAGGAUAGCUUUGCGAAAGCAGAGGUAAUACUCCAUGAGCUCUGUUCUUUUCGUGGGAGCAGAGGAAAGAUGGCCUAUACUUGUAAGCUAUCACCUUAAGAGAGGCCCGCGGCCUAUCAGGUAGUUGGUAGAGGUAAUGGCCUACCAAGCCUAAGACGGGUAGCUGGUUUUAGAGGAUGGUCAGUCACACCGGGACUGAGAUACUGCCCGG